GGGCUCCGGCCCGAUCCUCCCACCCUUUGUGUACCUACCUCUGUUGCUUUGGCGGGCCGCGGUCCCCCGCGGCCGCCCCCCCUCCCCGGGGGGUGGCUAGUGCCCGCCAGAGGACCAUCAAACUCCAGUCAGUGAACGUCGCAGUCUGAAAAAACAUUCAAUAAACUAAAACUUUCAACAACGGAUCUCUUGGUUCUGGCAUCGAUGAAGAACGCAGCGAAAUGCGAUAAGUAAUGUGAAUUGCAGAAUUCAGUGAAUCAUCGAAUCUUUGAACGCACAUUGCGCCCCUUGGUAUUCCGAGGGGCAUGCCUGUUCGAGCGUCAUUACAACCCUCAAGCUCUGCUUGGUAUUGGGCACCGCCCUUCUUCGGGCGCGCCUCAAAGACCUCGGCGGUGGCUGUCUUGCCUCAAGCGUAGUAGAAUACACCUCGCUUCGGAGCGCAGGGCGUCGCCCGCCGGACGAACCUUCUGAACUUUUCUCAAGGUUGACCUCGGAUCAGGUAGGGAUACCCGCUGAACU
rnacentral:rRNA from 1 species